rnacentral:rRNA from 1 species
GACGUAGGAGGCGAGCGUUGUCCGGAUUCAUUGGGCGUAAAGAGCACGCAGGCGGUUUGGCAAGUCGGACGUGAAAAUCCGGGGCUCAACCCCAGACCUGCAUCCGAAACUGCCCGACUAGAGGUAGGUAGGGGAGAUCGGAAUUCCUGGUGUAGCGGUGAAAUGCGCAGAUAUCAGGAGGAACACCGGUGGCGAAGGCGGAUCUCUGGGCCUUACCUGACGCUCAGGUGCGAAAGCUAGGGGAGCGAACAGG